UACGUAGGGUGCGAGCGUUGUCCGGAAUUACUGGGCGUAAAGAGCUCGUAGGUGGUUUGUCGCGUUGUUCGUGAAAACUCACAGCUUAACUGUGGGCGUGCGGGCGAUACGGGCAGACUGGAGUACUGCAGGGGAGACUGGAAUUCCUGGUGUAGCGGUGGAAUGCGCAGAUAUCAGGAGGAACACCGGUGGCGAAGGCGGGUCUCUGGGCAGUAACUGACGCUGAGGCGCGAAAGCGUGGGGAGCAAACAGG
rnacentral:rRNA from 1 species